UCUCCCAAACACCUCCCCUCCCCCUCCAUUUGGAGCGGCCCCCCUCAAUGCGGAAAUGUCCCCGCCGCGCAGACAGACAGGAACAACCACCAGUCAGGAGCCGAGGCGGAUGCAGGGCCUAGCCAAUGAGACGCGCGGAGGUGGCAGGAGGCGGGGCGUCUGAGGCUGAGGGGACACCCCCCCUCUCCCCCGGGAGGUGGGCGCAAACAGGACCCUGGGAUCCGCUUGUAGAAGCAGCACCUGCUGCGGCGGGGCAAGGGGUGUUUCACCAGUAAAACUCCCCGGCUUCUACGGAUACUUUAGCAAGGGCGAGAACCUGAAGCACGAGUGGUUAUUUUUGCAGUCCAUAAAAAUGUUCCGGUUUACGAGGGAUUGAAGAUAGCUAAACAGCGGAUAGAGCCAGAACGCUCCACGGCUACUACCUGAGAGAGCCUUUCUCAGUAGAUACAAACUCUCCUCACUACAUCUGGUCUGGGGAGGGUGAAGGUGCGUUCAGGAGUAAGCAGUGGGAAGUGUGGAGUCCACCAACAGAAGGAGGGAUUUAGGGUGUGGAAAAAAAGUGCCAGGUGAAGGCUCUGCCACCAGAACCAGCACGGCCAGUCCCUAUUCCUGUAGAGAGUUAUGCUGUGAUAGACAUUUACUUUAAUGACCAAAGUGGCAAUGGCUUGUUACCCCUCCAGAUGCUUACCUUUACUAUUCUUGAAGUCCACAAGGAAAGAGGAUGUUGCAAGAACGUUGGCAGUGGCGUGUGAACUGCGAGAGGGCCAGCCCAGCGCCCGCUAAAUCACACCUGAUAUUGCCAACACCUGUAAAACUCAGUGGGUGUAUCUCAGACUUCACUUCGUGACUCAGUCAAACUAUGUCAGGACAGAUGAAUUGUCAGCACUCUCUUAGAGGCCUGCAAUAAACCAAGUAAUUCUAGAAGAGUUUGAGGCUUUGGACAACCCUAAUCAACCAAGGACACGAGGACGGCAGCAGUGUUGGCACCAGGACCCUCAACACUUCUGAUGCCCUGAAAGUUGGACCCCUUGCACAUGUCAGCAGCUGCAACAAUGGCAGUGGUACCUUUGGUGGGCAGUGAUGACACGGCUUGGAGGACUGGCAGCAGCUAGCUGCUUGUAUCAGGGAGAGCACAGCCCUCUGAACUUCUGAGAAUUCUCUGAAGAAUUGAAGGGCACAUAGUCAUUGGCAGUGGAGUUUGUGUUAGCUGACUCACCUCUGUGCCUAGACAGACAACACCAAAAUACACACCGAACAACAGUAAGCACCAUCUGCAUAAAAUAUCAGAGAAAGAAAUCUUAAAUCAGCCCCCAAAUCCAGGUCCUCAUUCCCACUUUCGUGUCAAUGAAGAGAACAGAAAUAAGAUAAGCCAAAGAAAUAAGGAGACCAUCAUUGGAACUAUUGGCUUCAGGAGCACAUGCCCGGGAUCAUCUACCAUCACCUGCUACCAUCACCACCACUGCUAACUUCUGAGCUACGCUCUACAGCAGGUCCAUCACUACCAACGAAGCUAGCAAGUUGCCACUAACAUACUGACACAGAAGAAGCCAGUGCUUUGCUGCCUGACUGUGCUUUCUAGCAGAAAGGAUCAAAAGAAGCAACAGAAUGGCUUUUACCUCACUCACUUCUACCUCCCAAAUCGUGCAUAAGUGCAUCUGAUUAGCAAAAGCUAAAUAAUACAGGAUCCCAUUUGGGAAAAGUUGUUUUUAGCUUUCUAGUCUCUGCAGUACAAGAUGAUACAUUAAAAGGUGGUGGGGUGAAUAUUUAGAGAGCCAAUUGACCUUAUCCACCAUACAGGUACUAUAUAUAGGUUGGCUUGCUUCACGUUAAUUCCCAACCCCCUUCCCUUUUGCUUUCCUCUACGAUAGAGGCUGGAAAGAUAAAUGCUCUAUCAUUUCCCAGUCUCUCUUGUAACUGGAGGUGCCCUUGUGAAACAGUUCUGGCCAGUAAGAUGUAGGCAGAAGUUUGCUAAGCAGAUUCUGGAAAGCAUUGCUUUCCCCCUAAAGAGAAACAAAACAGCUGAUGAAGCUUUUUUUUUUUCUUCCCAUUUCUUCCUUCCUAAAAUGGGAAUGUGAUGCCUGGAGUUAUGGCUAUUAACAGAGAAAAC